rnacentral:tRNA from 1 species
CAGAAGGUAGUUUAUUUAAAAUACCAGCUUUGGGAGCUGGGGAUGGGGGUUUGAAUCCCCUCUUUCUGA